GGAGAGGGUGUCGCUGUGCAAGGAAUCAGUGGAGAGAAAAACCCUAACCCUAACCCUAACCCUAACCCUAACCCUAACCCUAACCCUAACCCUAACCCUAACCCUAACCCUAACCCUAACCCUAACCCUAACCCUAACCCUAACCAGUACACCAGUACACCGUCACGCCCCCGUCCUGUUGGAGAGGGUGUCGCUGUGCAAGGAAUCAGUGGAGAGAAAAACCCUAACCCUAACCCUAACCCUAACCCUAACCCUAACCAGUACACCAGUACACCGUCACGCCCCCGUCCUGUUGGAGAGGGUGUCGCUGUGCAAGGAAUCAGUGGAGAGAAAAACCCUAACCCUAACCCUAACCCUAACCCUAACCCUAACCAGUACACCAGUACACCGUCACGCCCCCGUCCUGUUGGAGAGGGUGUCGCUGUGCAAGGAAUCAGUGGAGAGAAAAACCCUAACCCUAACCCUAACCCUAACCCUAACCCUAACCCUAACCCUAACCCUAACCAGUACACCAGUACACCGUCACGCCCCCGUCCUGUUGGAGAGGGUGUCGCUGUGCAAGGAAUCAGUGGAGAGAAAAACCCUAACCCUAACCCUAACCCUAACCCUAACCCUAACCCUAACCCUAACCCUAACCCUAACCCUAACCCUAACCCUAACCCUAACCCUAACCCUAACCCUAACCCUAACCCUAACCCUAACCUAACCCUAACCCUAACCCUAACCCUAACCCUAACCCUAACCCUAACCCUAACCCUAACCCUAACCCUAACCAGUACACCAGUACACCGUCACGCCCCCGUCCUGUUGGAGAGGGUGUCGCUGUGCAAGGAAUCAGUGGAGAGAAAAACCCUAACCCUAACCCUAACCCUAACCCUAACCCUAACCCUAACCCUAACCCUAACCCUAACCCUAACCAGUACACCGUCACGCCCCCGUCCUGUUGGAGAGGGUGUCGCUGUGCAAGGAAUCAGUGGAGAGAAAAACCCUAACCCUAACCCUAACCCUAACCCUAACCAGUACACCAGUACACCGUCACGCCCCCGUCCUGUUGGAGAGGGUGUCGCUGUGCAAGGAAUCAGUGGAGAGAAAAACCCUAACCCUAACCAGUACACCAGUACACCGUCACGCCCCCGUCCUGUUGGAGAGGGUGUCGCUGUGCAAGGAAUCAGUGGAGAGAAAAACCCUAACCCUAACCCUAACCCUAACCCUAACCCUAACCCUAACCCUAACCAGUACACCAGUACACCGUCACGCCCCCGUCCUGUUGGAGAGGGUGUCGCUGUGCAAGGAAUAAGUGGAGAGAAAAACCCUAACCCUAACCCUAACCCUAACCCUAACCCUAACCCUAACCCUAACCCUAACCCUAACCCUAACCCUAACCCUAACCCUAACCCUAACCCUAACCCUAACCCUAACCAGUACACCAGUACACCGUCACGCCCCCGUCCUGUUGGAGAGGGUGUCGCUGUGCAAGGAAUCAGUGGAGAGAAAAACCCUAACCCUAACCCUAACCCUAACCCUAACCCUAACCCUAACCCUAACCCUAACCCUAACCCUAACCCUAACCCUCACCCUAACCCUACCCUAACCCUAACCCUACCCUAACCCUAACCCUAACCCUAACCCUAACCCUAACCCUAACCCUAACCCUAACCCUAACCCUAACCCUAACCCUAACCAGUACACCAGUACACCAGUACACCGUCACGCCCCCGUCCUGUUGGAGAGGGUGUCGCUGUGCAAGGAAUCAGUGGAGAGAAAAACCCUAACCCUAACCCUAACCCUAACCAGUACACCAGUACACCAGUACACCGUCACGCCCCCGUCCUGUUGGAGAGGGUGUCGCUGUGCAAGGAAUCAGUGGAGAGAAAAACCCUAACCCUAACCCUAACCCUAACCCUAACCCUAACCCUAACCCUAACCCUAACCCUAACCAGUACACCAGUACACCAGUACACCGUCACGCCCCCGUCCUGUUGGAGAGGGUGUCGCUGUGCAAGGAAUCAGUGGAGAGAAAAACCCUACCCCUAACCCUAACCAG
rnacentral:misc_RNA from 1 species